ensembl:lncRNA
AAGCUGCAGCGCUGUACACGCGCAUGCAUGGGAGCACGUGACCCGGCUCCAGUGCAGCGGCGGUGGCGCGCGUGCGCGUCCCCGUUGCUUUCGCGCGUUGGCGGCGGCGGUGGUGGCGGCGCGGGCACAGUCCUACAGGAAGGUAUGAAGGAGAGUGUUGCUGCAGAUACUAAGAAUUUCUUGGAAGAGAAGAAACCAAACACAAAAACCACUGCUGUUUGAUACGUGAUCUUGGUUUUUCUAGUUCCACUGUGCUGUAAGAAGCUGUUUAUCAAGCGGCAGUGACUUAACCAAAUACAGGAUGGGAGUAAGGUAGGGCUGUUGUGUGUCAAGUUCCUUUUUUUUUUUUGUUUGUUUGUUUGUUUUUUUGACAAUUCAUUAAAAGAAAGUUAAAGUGUUUUCUAAAAUCAUAUUUUUCUUGUCAAGUCAGCUGUAGAAUAUCUUAAUCAGUGAAUAUGGUUUAGAUAUGAAUUGAGCAGAAUUGAAUUUAGAAUUCUGCUAGGAGAAUUUUUAAGUGUCCAACGAGGUUAUUUUUUUGGCUAAGAAGAAAAAUUGCAAUACAGAUACGUGGCAAAAAUUUCAAAUUGUGCAACACAUUAUAAAUGCUUGCUGACUUCAGUCAAUGCGCUGAAAUUUUCUUUGGUCCUACCAUCAAGAAGCUUGGAAUAAUGAAGUGUCCUUAAAUGUUGUGCAGACUUUUGCUUUUCUGAACUUCAGUGCUGCUUGUCUCGUGAUUAUGAGCUCUUUUCUUUCCCCCAGCAGUUUAGUUAGUGUUUAUAUGUGAUGUGCCAAGUGAGAGCCAAGAUGUUUCUUGAAAUCAAUGUACUGGCGUGUGUGAAAAUAGGAAUUAAGAAGGGUUUUCAGUAGAUAGUAUUUAGAGACGACAGUUGAAUUGCAUACAAAUAGUAGAUUUUCCUUGAUUUCAGCAAUGUAAGAACUGUUUUUUCUACUUAAAGUUAACUAACAUAUAAAACCCCACACAACAAAACGAAAAAGAUUAAUAAUGGAAGGGAGUAAAUUAGAAAAGUGGAUAGGAUGUGGUUUGGACACAGGGACUUGUGGAUGAGACAUAGCUAAGUGAUUUCUAAGCAUCUAAUUUGAGCAAAAGAAAGUAUUCAUGCUUUGGUUGUUCUCUCCUGCACUUGUUAUGUUUAAAUGCUUAAAAUCUUGUCUGACUGGACAGAAAUUUCUGCUUGCCCUUGAUUCUUCAGAAAGGAGCCCUGGUAUGAGCUGUGGUUCUAUGUAAUGUUAUUUAAGAGGUGUGUGCAAAGGUGACAUUAUUUACACAGGGCAAUACCUAGAGAAACAACAGCAUGCCAUUCUCUUGCGGUUCUUGUUUGAUGUCCAUGAGAAAUUGGGAAAAUGGAAGUCUUGCUUUAAUUUAUGGCUCCAGUAAUUGAACUUACUGAGAUGAUAUUGGAAUGUUUUGGCAUGUUAUCAAAAGAGGCCAGGAUUAAAGGUUGUUUAGUGUUCUUAUUGUAACAUGUUAAACUUAACUUCCAUUCUCUAGUCUUGCAAAAGUGCUUUAUUUUCUUGGAAUUUUGACCAGAGAGUCUGUAUAAAUGCCAUGCUAGGUAGCAAUGAAAAAACUGUAGUCCCGUGCUAGUAUAGAAUUACACAUUAGUGUGGGUGCAGUCUAACAUUUCCAGGGCUAAUAAACCAGUUUCAGAGGACUUAUUCCA